GGGGGCUGUCACAGAGGCGACACUUCACCGGGCCAUUGGCCUGGUUCCAAGUCCCAGCCGCACGUUUCCUGGCCUUGGAAAGCCCCUUCGCUCCCUGAGUCUCGGUUUCCUCCUCCUGAGUUGGAGACGAUGGAGACCCCCGCACCCUGGGCGUUUUCAGGACUCAGGAGGUCGCGUGUCUGAGCCCCCCGCCCACCGUGGAGGCCACGCCUGCAGCAGCCAUGGUUCUCCGGGGAGCUGUCCCGGACGCUGCUCAGAUCUCCCGGGGCAGUGUGCUGGGGGCCGGAGGGGCCGAGCGCCACCGGACCCACCCCAUGGGCAAGGCAGAACGAGGGUCUCCUGGGAGCCCGGAACAGAGGCAACGGACCCCAGGGGCAUGGGCGCAGUCCCGGGACCCCUUCACCAAGAGGAACCCGGGUGUCUUCUCCCUGCGGCUGCCGCAGGUGACUCAAAACACCAUUCACGCUCAUCACGACUUUGAAAUAAUGCCAGCGGUCGGCGCCAUCGCUAGAUCUUGCUGUUGAAUCUCGUUAUUUAACGCAGUCACAAAAAGAAAGCGCAUAAGGGACCAGAUUACGAGUUUGCUCUUUAUUUUAAUGGCAUUUCAACAAA
rnacentral:lncRNA from 1 species